rnacentral:rRNA from 1 species
UGGGGAAUAUUGCACAAUGGGCGCAAGCCUGAUGCAGCCAUGCCGCGUGUGUGAAGAAGGCCUUCGGGUUGUAAAGCACUUUCAGCGAGGAGGAAGGCAUAAGGAUUAAUAAUCUUUGUGAUUGACGUUACUCGCAGAAGAAGCACCGGCUAACUCCGUGCCAGCAGCCGCGGUAAUACGGAGGGGGCAAGCGUUAAUCGGAAUUACUGGGCGUAAAGCGCACGCAGGCGGUUUGUUAAGUCAGAUGUG